rnacentral:rRNA from 1 species
GACGAACGCUGGCGACGUGCUUAACACAUGCAAGUCGAACGGAAAGGCCCUGCUUUUGUGGGGUGCUCGAGUGGCGAACGGGUGAGUAACACGUGAGUAACCUGCCCUUGACUUUGGGAUAACUUCAGGAAACUGGGGCUAAUACCGGAUAGGAGCUCCUGCUGCAUGGUGGGGGUUGGAAAGUUUCGGCGGUUGGGGAUGGACUCGCGGCUUAUCAGCUUGUUGGUGGGGUAGUGGCUUACCAAGGCUUUGACGGGUAGCCGGCCUGAGAGGGUGACCGGCCACAUUGGGACUGAGAUACGGCCCAGACUCCUACGGGAGGCAGCAGUGGGGAAUAUUGCACAAUGGGCGGAAGCCUGAUGCAGCAACGCCGCGUGCGGGAUGACGGCCUUCGGGUUGUAAACCGCUUUCGCCUGUGACGAAGCGUGAGUGACGGUAAUGGGUAAAGAAGCACCGGCUAACUACGUGCCAGCAGCCGCGGUGAUACGUAGGGUGCGAGCGUUGUCCGGAUUUAUUGGGCGUAAAGGGCUCGUAGGUGGUUGAUCGCGUCGGAAGUGUAAUCUUGGGGCUUAACCCUGAGCGUGCUUUCGAUACGGGUUGACUUGAGGAAGGUAGGGGAGAAUGGAAUUCCUGGUGGAGCGGUGGAAUGCGCAGAUAUCAGGAGGAACACCAGUGGCGAAGGCGGUUCUCUGGGCCUUUCCUGACGCUGAGGAGCGAAAGCGUGGGGAGCGAACAGGCUUAGAUACCCUGGUAGUCCACGCUGUAAACGGUGGGUACUAGGUGUGGGGUCCAUUCCACGGGUUCCGUGCCGUAGCUAACGCUUUAAGUACCCCGCCUGGGGAGUACGGCCGCAAGGCUAAAACUCAAAGGAAUUGACGGGGCCCCGCACAAGCGGCGGAGCAUGCGGAUUAAUUCGAUGCAACGCGUAGAACCUUACCUGGGUUUGACAUGGAUCGGGAGCGCUCAGAGAUGGGUGUGCCUCUUUUGGGGUCGGUUCACAGGUGGUGCAUGGCUGUCGUCAGCUCGUGUCGUGAGAUGUUGGGUUAAGUCCCGCAACGAGCGCAACCCUUGUUCACUGUUGCCAGCACGUUAUGGUGGGGACUCAGUGGAGACCGCCGGGGUCAACUCGGAGGAAGGUGGGGAUGACGUCAAGUCAUCAUGCCCCUUAUGUCCAGGGCUUCACGCAUGCUACAAUGGCUGGUACAGAGAGUGGCGAGCCUGUGAGGGUGAGCGAAUCUCGGAAAGCCGGUCUCAGUUCGGAUUGGGGUCUGCAACUCGACCUCAUGAAGUCGGAGUCGCUAGUAAUCGCAGAUCAGCAACGCUGCGGUGAAUACGUUCCCGGG